rnacentral:rRNA from 1 species
UACGAAGGGUGCAAGCGUUACUCGGAAUUACUGGGCGUAAAGCGUGCGUAGGUGGUGAGUUAAGUCUGUCGUGAAAGCCCCGGGCUCAACCUGGGAAUGGCGAUGGAUACUGGCUCGCUAGAGUGCGGUAGAGGAGAGUGGAAUUCCCGGUGUAGCAGUGAAAUGCGUAGAGAUCGGGAGGAACAUCAGUUGCGAAGGCGGCUCUCUGGACCAGCACUGACACUGAGGCACGAAAGCGUGGGGAGCAAACGGG